GUGACUCACCGUCUCCUCGCAGCAGGAAGCAAGGGUGCCGUUCUAUCGUACUAAGGCUUGUCCAGGAGAAGAAAAGUAUGUGUCGUUCCUGAAGAGUCCUGGUCUGUCUCAUAAGGACCCUCUUGGCUCAUCUGGAAGAAGAGGAAAAUAAGAGAUACUGUGAGUGGACAUUUUCAGCUGUUGCGUGGAUGUUUUGCUUUGCCAGUGGGCACUUGGCACGUGCCAGGAGGCCGUGUCUCCAUUUUUCAGCUGCUUCUGGGACUGUGGUGCUCUUACUUCCCUGCCCCCCUGGAAGGAGCAAGAUGGCAGAAUUCCAGAAAGUGCUUCAGUAGAUGCAGCCCUGAAGGAGGCUAGGAGUCACAGGUCAGUGGCCCUUCACUUGAGACACCAGUGAAUGCCUGGUGACUCACAAAGCCUGGGGCAGGGAAUCUGCCUGCUGGAGGCUGCCUCUCACUCACAGGCACCAUUUCUGAAUUCAGUUAUAUUUUGGGAACUUAUCU